GUUCAUCUAGGUGUUGGCUCUGUUUGAGGAGGGAGAGGAGUCAACCACCGCCUUUGUUGAGCCUGUUGUAAUUCUUCUCAUCCUCAUCGCCAACGCUAUUAUCGGGGUCUGGCAGGAGCGCAAUGCAGAGAAUGCCAUCGAGGCUCUGAAGGAGUACGAGCCAGAGAUGGGUAAGGUGUACCGUAUGAACCGUAAGGCUGUCCAGA